rnacentral:rRNA from 1 species
ACGAACGCUGGCGGCGUGGAUAAGACAUGCAAGUCGAACGAGAGAAUUGCUAGCUUGCUAAUAAUUCUCUAGUGGCGCACGGGUGAGUAACACGUGAGUAACCUGCCCCCGAGAGCGGGAUAGCCCUGGGAAACUGGGAUUAAUACCGCAUAGUAUCGAAAGAUUAAAGCAGCAAUGCGCUUGGGGAUGGGCUCGCGGCCUAUUAGUUAGUUGGUGAGGUAACGGCUCACCAAGGCAAUGACGGGUAGCCGGUCUGAGAGGAUGUCCGGCCACACUGGAACUGAGACACGGUCCAGACACCUACGGGUGGCAGCAGUCGAGAAUCAUUCACAAUGGGGGAAACCCUGAUGGUGCGACGCCGCGUGGGGGAAUGAAGGUCUUCGGAUUGUAAACCCCUGUCAUGUGGGAGCAAAUUAAAAAGAUAGUAUCACAAGAGGAAGAGACGGCUAACUCUGUGCCAGCAGCCGCGGUAAUACAGAGGUCUCAAGCGUUGUUCGGAAUCACUGGGCGUAAAGCGUGCGUAGGCUGUUUCGUAAGUCGUGUGUGAAAGGCGCGGGCUCAACCCGCGGACGGCACAUGAUACUGCGAGACUAGAGUAAUGGAGGGGGAACCGGAAUUCUCGGUGUAGCAGUGAAAUGCGUAGAUAUCGAGAGGAACACUCGUGGCGAAGGCGGGUUCCUGGACAUUAACUGACGCUGAGGCACGAAGGCCAGGGGAGCGAAAGGGAUUAGAUACCCCUGUAGUCCUGGCAGUAAACGGUGCACGCUUGGUGUGCGGGGAAUCGACCCCCUGCGUGCCGGAGCUAACGCGUUAAGCGUGCCGCCUGGGGAGUACGGUCGCAAGAUUAAAACUCAAAGAAAUUGACGGGGACCCGCACAAGCGGUGGAGUAUGUGGCUUAAUUCGAUGCAACGCGAAGAACCUUACCUGGGCUUGACAUGUAAUGAACAACAUGUGAAAGCAUGCGACUCUUCGGAGGCGUUACACAGGUGCUGCAUGGCCGUCGUCAGCUCGUGUCGUGAGAUGUUUGGUUAAGUCCAGCAACGAGCGCAACCCCUGUUGCCAGUUACCAGCACGUGAAGGUGGGGACUCUGGCGAGACUGCCCAGAUCAACUGGGAGGAAGGUGGGGACGACGUCAGGUCAGUAUGGCCCUUAUGCCCAGGGCUGCACACGUACUACAAUGCCCAGUACAGAGGGGGCCGAAGCCGCGAGGCGGAGGAAAUCCUAAAAACUGGGCCCAGUUCGGACUGUAGGCUGCAACCCGCCUACACGAAGCCGGAAUCGCUAGUAAUGGCGCAUCAGCUACGGCGCCGUGAAUACGUUCCCGGGUCUUGUACACACCGCCCGUCACAUCAUGGAAGCCGGUCGCACCCGAAGUAUCUGAAGCCAACCGCAAGGAGGCAGGGUCCUAAGGUGAGACUGGUAACUGGGAUG